GACGAACGCUGGCGGCGUGCUUAACACAUGCAAGUCGAGCGGUAAGGCCCUUUCGGGGGUACACGAGCGGCGAACGGGUGAGUAACACGUGGGUGACCUGCCCUCAGCUCUGGGAUAAGCCUGGGAAACUGGGUCUAAUACUGGAUAUGACUCCACGGUGCAUGUCGUGGGGUGGAAAGCCUUGUGCGGCUGAGGAUGGGCCCGCGGCCUAUCAGCUUGUUGGUGGGGUGANGGCCUACCAAGGCGACGACGGGUAGCCGGCCUGAGAGGGCGACCGGCCACACUGGGACUGAGACACGGCCCAGACUCCUACGGGAGGCAGCAGUGGGGAAUUGUUCGCAAUGGGCGCAAGCCUGACGACGCAACGCCGCGUGGAGGAUGAAGACUUUGGUCGU
rnacentral:rRNA from 1 species